UAUGUUGGUUAAGAAUUGUUGAGGAUCUUGAGCAAUCUUGAGAACUGCCAGGGCCAGGAGUCAGGAGUGCCAGGACUGCUCUCUGUCACUGUCUCACAGUCACAGCACUACCAAAGGCAACCAAGGGAAGAACUGGGAAUAACUGUUUUGAACUAUACUUUGUUAAAGACAUCGAUUUGUUAAUUCAAUGAUUGUGUAAUAAUAAGGCCCCAGAUUUGGCAUACUUUCCCAAUACUUGGAAAAUAACCAAUGGUCGUUCCAAUCCUCAAAACGGGUACAUCAAACAAAGAACUUAGUAAUAAUCGGCCCAUUAGUCUGCUUCAUAUUAUGGAGCUGGACACUCCACCACGCAUCAGUUAAUCGAGAGUAACACAGCAG